rnacentral:rRNA from 1 species
AAUCUUCCACAAUGGACGGAAGUCUGAUGGAGCAACGCCGCGUGAGCGAAGAAGGUUUUAGGUUCGGAAAGCCCUGUUGUACGGGAAAAACACGUACGGGAGUCACUGCCCCUACCCUCACGGUCCCUUAUCAGAAAGCCACCGCCAACUACGUGCCCGCCGCCGCGCUAAGACGUAGGUGGUAAGCGUUGUCCGGAAUUAUUGGGCGUAAAGCGCGCGCAGGCGGUCCUUUAAGUCUGAUGUGAAAGCCCACGGCUCAACCGUGGAGGGUCAUUGGAAACUGGAGGACUUGAGUACAGAAGAGGAAAGCGGAAUUCCACGUGUAGCGGUGAAAUGCGUAGAGAUGUGGAGGAACACCAGUGGCGAAGGCGGCUUUCUGGUCUGUAACUGACGCUGAGGCGCGAAAGCGUGGGGAGCAAACA